AGUGAAACCAUCUGGGCCUGGAGUAAAGGUGUUUGGCAUUGUUACUGUGGUCACUGAUGAGGAGGUAGAGGGAGGAUUCACAGCCAAGUUGCCAUGAUCUUGUCGUUAUGGAGACAGACAUGCUGGGCUUCAUCACAAGGCUGUUUUUCUCCAGGUAUGAUGUUGCUGUGGAAACACAAAGCCCAAAUCCUCAAAGAACACUCUGUUCUAGUCCCAGCUGCUGUAUCCAUCUGCGUUGUAUCUCAUUAGCAGAAGAGCCUAGUGAGAUAGGAGUUGCAUCUCUGCUCAUCCAGAUCUCUAGAGAAGGGAUCUACCCCUGGACUUUUUCCUGGAAAACUCUUCACGAAGCCAUAGGUAUGGAUGGAAGAAAAUGCACCAGUCCAAUAGCAGUAGGAGCCUGGGUAUUCUAUGCAUUUGAGUAUCUCACAUCUUCUGGAUCUGCCUAAACCCAGUCGCCAAGUACCACAGAUAUU
rnacentral:lncRNA from 10 species